rnacentral:rRNA from 1 species
AACGAACGCUGGCGGCAUGCCUAACACAUGCAAGUCGAACGAGACCUUCGGGUCUAGUGGCGCACGUGUGCGUAACGCGUGGGAACCUGCCCUUAGGUUCGGAAUCACUCCCCUAAAGGGGUGCUCAUACCGGUUAAUGUCUUCGGACCAAAGAUUUAUCGCCUUUGGAUGGGCCCUCGUUGGAUUCGCUAGUUGGUAGUGUAAAAGCCUGCCAAGGCGUCGAUCCAUAGCUGGUCUGAGAGGAUGAUCAUCCACACUGGGAAUGAGACACGGCCCAGACUCCUACGGGAGGCAGCAGUGGGGAAUAUUGGACAAUGGGCGAAAGCCUGAUCCAGCAAUGCCGGGGGAGAGAUGAAGGCCGUAGGGUUGUAAAGCUCUUUGACACGGGAUGAUAAUGACAGUACCGGGAGAAUAAGCUCCGGCUAACUACGUG